UAUGGGUUCUGGGAUUUGUAAUUCCCUAGUUUAGCUGGAAAAGCAAAAAGUUCUCGACUUUUUGAUGCAUAUAAUGUUGAGGAUCAUUUAUGCAACAUUUUGGCUGGAUUGAAUUUGAAUUUCGCUAGAAAUCACUUCAUUCUGUACGGAAAUUCGAUUGGGAACAUGGGACUUCCCUUGAAAGUUGGCAUAAACUGGGGGUCUUGCAGUUGCAAUGCUAGAUGUACACCUAACAGAAUUCUUUUUCCUCUGUGCUUUCUUGUAUUCUGUUUGAAGUUGUGGUAGUUUAACCGUUCUGAGAAUUCAUAAUAUCAUUAUGGCUGCUCAUAAUUCUAGUGGUUUAGUUGUAUGGCAAGCAUUUUUCUUGUAUUGCAGGUUUAUACUUUUUGAGAUUCCCAUCUAGGAAUCUUUUGGGAUUUGUAAUUUGGUUUUUCUGGAAAAUGAGAGAUUCAUGCAUGGGUUUUAGAUCCUAAGCACAGAAUAAGGGGUAUCCUUGUCCACUUCAAUAAGGACAGCAUUUUAGGCCUCUUCUGUAACUCCUCUUUUUCUCCUUGCUUAGCUGGAAUUCAAUUCAAGCAAAGAUAGUUAUAUGAUUCUUUCAGGCUUUUGGGAUGUAAAUUGUUUUAUAUUUCUUGUUAGCUUUAUAAUAUCCAGUUGUUACUAAGUUUGAAUUACAGGCUAAGUCACAUUCAAAUUUGGGCUACAUGAGUCUUUCUUUCAAAUAUACAAAUUGCUUACAGUGAAAUUUCUUCGUUUGUGUCAUCUGUAAGUUUUAACAUGUCUACCAUGUCUCAAACUCAUAUUUUGAUGUUCAUAAGGUUCUUUAUCUUUACAGAAAAGUACAAGAGAUAAAAUUUGAUGUGUAUUUGGGUCCAUUUAAGUGGUACGCUUUUUGGCUAAUUUUGAUGUGUACUAAUUUUUCCUUUUCAAUAGGUUUAACUCCUAUAUUGAGUUUAUUAUACUUUUUUUCCUCAAUAGUUUAGAACUUAUUGCUUGUGUAAUUCAAAUAAGCAAGUAGCUUUUCAUGUAAGUUAUUGAAGUUAUUACAUGACAUUUGGGUUAUGGGUCUCACAUUUGCAAUUGCACCCAGGAUAUUGUUAAUGUUGAUCAGCUGUUGGGGGCUUAAAUGGAGUGAUGCUUGUUGACAAUGCAUUUGUUCUGGUGGCAACAACUGCCACUGCUUAUACUGAUUCAACUCCUAGAACCCAAUAGUACAAGCCACAAACUAUCUGCUGAAGCAUUAGUUGCUUGUAAGAGCACAAAUUCCCGCCUUCAACAUUCUAUUGGCAAGAUUGGGAGAUACUCAUGCCUAAGACAGUGGGCAAGUGCCAACUGUUAUAAACUGAAUGACCCAGGUGUUGUUUAUUUGUCUCCCAGAAGACAUCUUCCUUUUCUGCAGACUAGAUUUAUCAAAUCAUCACCUGUUGCUUUGAAAUUCAUUUCCUCAAAAUUUCCCAUUGAACUGCAAGAAAAAGUCUGUAAAUCAAGUAAUAGAAGAAUAGCAGCUGCAGUUGAUGGGGACAAUGGUGUUCCAACACUAACACCCUUGCAAGAAGCAGAUGCCAAGAAACCUAGUAAACAUAAAGUUGCUUUCAUAAUUGGUGGUGUUGGUGCAGCUUUGCUUGUGAUUGUCAUUGUAGUAGUUGUAUACGCGUGCUUGAUGCAUGCUAAGAAAUUCCUAAGGCAAGCAUCUGAGACAGCAUCUUCUAUACCAUCUCCUCCAGUUGAAUUGGCAAGAAGCUACAUUCCCCCCUCUGCUGCUGCCCAGUCUCCUUUUAAUACUCAACUUUUAAGGCAAUUAUCAAUCGUGGAGCUAGAGCAUGCUACAUGUAAUUUCAGUCACAGUAAUAUCAUAGGUGAAGGUGUUUUUGGUUUAGUUUAUAAAGGACUGCUUCUAGAUGGAUCAAUUGUAGCUAUCAAGAGAUGCCUACAUAAACCAGUUCUGAAUUUUGUUGCUGAGGUGAAACGCAUGGCUUCAGUUCACCACAAACAUCUUGUUGAACUUAUUGGUUAUUGUGAAGAUAGGCAUCAGCAAUUACUUGUGUAUGACUACAUCUCUAAUGGGAAUGUAGGGAAUUACCUCAAUGGUAAACAAACUUGCCCUCUCCUUCUUUAUUUUUCCUUUGUAAGCAAAAAGUUUUUCUUUUUUAUGUUACUUUGUUCCCAGAUAGUGAAGGUUUACCAAUUGGAAAGUUAGACAUGAGGCAAAGACUGUCAAUUGCUCUGGGUGCUGCAAAAGGCCUUCAAUAUCUUCACAGUUUGGUCCCUCCUUUCCUGCACAUGCACUUUAGAACUAGCAAUGUUCUUUUGGGAGAUAACUUUACUGCCAAGGUUUCUGACUAUGGACUUCUUAACUUGGUAAUGGAGGGUCACAGUGCUGGACCAUCUUCGGCCACUGACUACUUUCGUGAUCCAGAGUAUGUAAUUUCUAUUUGAAACCUGUAAUAUGUGGACUUUUUUCCACCAUAAUCCAAAUCACAUGAUUCACUGGGAGGGAAUUGGCGUGAAAAUUGUUCAAAUUAAGAUGCAAGCUGCCGUUGUGUUUUGCUUGAACACCCUUUUUAAUGGAUUUAUUGCAUACGCAUGUUCACAUGAGCAUGAAAGGGAGUGAGAAUACAAAUUUACACAGCCUUAACAUAUGUUUAGUUUGUGCCUUUGGUUAAUCACAGUGUGCUUUUUCUGACUCUGACAACACUAACAAUGUGGAGAAGGGACCGAUAUUAUUGUAUCAAAUACUGAUUUAUAUAGAAGGCAGUGAUACAUUUGCUACUGUUAUAAACAUUAUACAUGCUUUUAUCAGGCAUAGGUUAACUUUUUUGAAUCUGCAGAAGUGACUUUUCUCAAGAAAUGAGCAAUCUAUGCCAGCAUUAAAUGAAACUUCUAGUUGAUCUGUAGAAUCACACAUGUUCACCUAAAUUCUGAAGCCUCAAGAAAUCAGGCUUGUUACACUGCUUAGCCAAAUUUACCAAGUAUGAUCUACAUUCAGACAAUCUGCACUUCGGUAGUUCAUCAAGUUUUGUUCAUUUAGUUUCUUAGACUUGCUGUUAGUUCACAUGCUCCAUUAAGUGUUCCUUUCUGUUGAUGCAAAUGGACAACCUAUCAUAUGACAUUUUCUUUUUCAAGUAUGGAUUUCUUUGAUAUGUUUCUCAAUUAAACUUGAAUGCUGUUUCUGAUCUUAACUAAUACUUCUGCUAAAGGUUAAAUUUAUCAAACAAUUUUUCGGAGCGAAGUGACGUGUACAGUUUUGGGGUCUUCUUGUUGGAGUUAGUUAGUGGCCGUGAAGCACAUGGCAAGUAUCUGUCAAACUCAGGGCACAAUUUAGUAGAGGAGGUAAAUGCAGUUCAUUCUUACAUUUAAAGCAUAACCAUCAGCAUGAGAUCUUUCGGUAUAAAUGAAUUCACAGUUACUUGACUUAGAGCCAUCUUGAAAGGUCAAGUGGAAGAAGCUUAGUUAUAUGUUAUGUAGCUUAUGCUUAUGAUUCUUCUUCCUCCUCUGUUUCUUUUCUCCUCCUAUCUCAAGGCUAGGGAAUGCCGGCUCGGUGACUUCAUUGAUAAGAUACUUGGAGUGCACACAAUGCAAGCUGCAGGACAGAUGAUGGAGUUGGCAUUGCAAUGUGUAGAUAUUAGUAGAAAGAGGCCAUCAAUGGUGAGAGUUGUUCAAGAGAUUGAACAGAUUCACAGAAGAGAAAUGGGAUUUUUGCAGCCUGAGUUUGGGGAAGAGAUAGGCUCUGUUACACUUGGAAGUGAACUCUUUAAAUGACCUAUCUCAUGCAUUCUUUGUACUGCAACUGCAAUCAUUCUUUUAUUGGAUUGUUAGAAACAUAGACUUGAGACUUCAUUGAAAAUAAAUUAUCAAAGAAAUUAUAGGUUUGAAAUUGGAAAUUUAUAUGCCUUUGAACUAUAGGUCCUUACUACAAUAUUUCAACUGUCAU
rnacentral:misc_RNA from 1 species